rnacentral:lncRNA from 1 species
CAGACAUUGAUGAAUGUGCCUUAAGAACUCACACCUGUUGGAACGAUUCUGCCUGCAUCAACCUGGCAGGGGGCUUUGACUGUCUCUGCCCCUCUGGGCCCUCCUGCUCUGGUGACUGUCCUCAUGAAGGGGGGCUGAAGCACAAUGGCCAGGUGUGGACCUUGAAAGAAGACAGGUGUUCUGUCUGCUCCUGCAAGGAUGGCAAGAUAUUCUGCCGACGGACAGCUUGUGAUUGCCAGAAUCCAAGUGCUGAUCUAUUCUGUUGCCCAGAAUGUGACACCAGAGUCACAAGUCAAUGUUUAGACCAAAAUGGUCACAAGCUGUAUCGAAGUGGAGACAAUUGGACCCAUAGCUGUCAGCAGUGUCGGUGUCUGGAAGGAGAGGUAGAUUGCUGGCCACUCACUUGCCCCAACUUGAGCUGUGAGUAUACAGCUAUCUUAGAAGGGGAAUGUUGUCCCCGCUGUGUCAGUGACCCCUGCCUAGCUGAUAACAUCAUCUAUGACAUCAGAAAAACUUGCCUGGACAGCUAUGG